GUGCCCUUUCUUCUCCUUGAGGAUUGAUAAGCAGUUCUGACUAGGAAGAGGAAGAGGACCAGUGGGAGUAGGAGGGGUAGGAGAGCCUAAUAGAGGUGGAGUCAACUGAAAUAUGUCAGCCACAUGCAUGAAAGUGUCACAAUGAAACCAAUUGUAUAUAUAGUUAAUAUAUGCUGAUUAAAACACAGAAAAGAAAUCUAUAUGACUUUGUUCUAUGCCUGUUUUAUCGAAGAGGAGAGGGACUUGGAGAGAGUUUGAAACUCAACCCAGGUAGGGAAUAACAGGGCACAGUCCCUGGUAUACCCUCUGUGUCACAGAGCCACUGCCCAGCAUAGCCAGGGGAAUUAGGCUACUGAACCACAUCAUUUGUGAUGGCGUGAUAACUUGAGGGACAGAUCACCAUUUAUAGGUGUUUUUAAUGUGGUUGCUUGUAAAUUUGCCCAAAAGAGGAACCAAAUUCAUGUGUUUCUUAUGGUUUCUUGAAGUUACCUCAUGUGGAAAUGUCUUUUAUGUAACGUAAGCUGCCUCUCAAGGAAAGUGUGGACAUUGCUACGGCUUAGCCUGCUACCUGAGCUUGGUGUGGGAUACACAGAAUGAGCUGAGCAGGAACCCCUAGUCCCUGAGCUGCUCAUUGACACCCUGUCUGUUGCUGGCAUCCUGGGGAGGGGAGCUGAUCGUGAUGGCUCACCUAUAAAGCCUCCAGUCUUUGCAGAGAGCUUGCUUUUCUUUCUGCUCUUAGACACAUUGUGGGGUUAGUGCUAGUGCAUGCUGACUGCAGAAUAUGGCAGAAAUCUCACAGUGGAGGCCCUGAGGGAGGAGAGAGUGGUUCAUGCCCUGGGCAAGUGGGGAGCUCAGCUGUCCUAGGAAGCUGUCUGGAGGAGGGCAUUAGCCAUGUCUUGAUCCCCAGCCUUGAGCCACUCAGUAAGAGAGGUGUAAAUUUGACAGGAAGACUGGAUCACUUUGUCUUGAUCUCUGAGAUGGUAAUAUUAACAGUUCAGUUAAAACUUGUUUAUUAUUUUGGUCACAGAAGCUUUGGGAAAUCCAUGUCAGAUGAAUCUUUAGGGGUUCCUUGUUGUCUUUUAGGUAAAUUGUGGUUAGCUGCUUAGACUCUAUUUCUUGUGAAGAUUGAAAUGUACAAGAAGUUACCUCUUCUCUGUGGAAUGCUGCAGUUUUAUUUAAUGGGAAAACUAUUCUCUUACUCCUUCCCUUCUGGGAAGAAAAUGUCCCCUGAGCAAUUGAUGCUUAUGAAAUAAAGCCUUGAAUUUUUGAUUCGGGAAUAGCUUUCAUUGUCCAAAUGACUGCUGGAUAGCCCUGAAUGUUCAUUAUUUUUAUAUAAUAAACAUUUUGCACAUAGGAAAACUCAGUGAGUUUGAUUAUUCUCAGAUGAAGUUUAGACCAGAAAUCACACAGACAGAUGAUAAAGCCAGGGAUCUAAAACGAUCAAUAAACACGAAGAGACCACCAACCAACAAGAAAGGUCUCAGAGCUUAAACCAGAGCCUAGAACACACAGGAAGGUCCCGGAGCUUAAACCAGAGCCUAGAACACACAGGAAGGUCCUGGAGCUUAAACCAGAGCCUAGAACACACAGGAAGGUCCCAGAGCUUAAACCAGAGCCUAGAACACACAGGAAGGUCCCGGAGCUUAAACCAGAGCCUAGAACACACAGGAAGGUCCCAGAGCUUAAACCAGAGCCUAGAACACACAGAAAGGUCCCGGAGCUUAAACCAGAGCCUAGAACACACAGAAAGGUCUUGGUGCUUAAAUCAGCAACUGCUAUCAAACAAGGAAGCCAAAGUUCCACAGACAGACCGUGUCUCAAAAAGUCAAAACCAAGCCAAAUCAAAACAAUUAUUAACACGCAGGGAAGGUCCAAGAAUGUAAACCAGGGACUAUUUAAACAGUCAGGGAGGAACUUUGUUCAAACACAGUUGGAUGUCAGAACUAAGAACUCAAGAUUCUGUAAACAUUUCAUACUUUGACA
ensembl:lncRNA